GUUUUGAAAAUUUAUUUCUUCAUAAAAGUGGCAAACCAGUAUCAGAUUUUGACACCUUGAUACGGAUCAACCAGGAAUACUGAUUGGAUCAAAAACAAAAACACAGGCUACGGCUAAUUAAUUAUAAAUUGAUUCUUUUUUAAGAUGAAAGUCAAAAAGCAAAGCCAUGACCACAACCAGUGUGGCCCCAUGGCAUCUCUUCCCAUCUUGACUGGUGACUGUAACAAUCUGUACCAGUGUGGCCCCAUGGCAUCUCUUCCCAUCUUGACUGGUGACUGUAACAAUCUGUACCAGUGUGGCCCCAUGGUAUCUCUUCCCAUCUUGACUGGUGACUGUAACAAUCUGUACCAGUGUGGCCCCAUGGCAUCUCUUCCCAUCUUGACUGGUGACUGUACUAAUCUGUUGCUUUAUUCUUAAAUUCAAACCUCACCCUGGAAAAUGUGGCUUCAUGCAAGUGCGUAAAGUGUCGUCGCAGAUGAGCCUGUGCAAAGUGCAUAAAGUGUCGUCGCAGAUGAGCCUGUGCAAAGUGCGUAAAGUGUCAUCGCAGAUGAGCAUGUGCAAAGUGCAUAAAGUGUCAUCGCAGAUGAGCCUGUUCAGUCAGCACAUGUCAAUUUGGGACGACUUUUUGUACAGAAAAGACACCCUUUUAGGAUGAACCGGGAGCACCAAGAAGGACCGGCAACAACUGGCGCGGCACGGGGAACAAACGGGACUGCACCAGGACCGUACCGGGAUGGUACAUCGGUAAACCGACGCUCUGCUGGGAUCCCAUCGGCAUUCACCGGGGCUCUGGCGAACACUGGGGUUAAGCCGGGAUGUUGCCGUAGCUCUGCCGGGGUCUGAUGCCGGUAUAGCCCUGGUGAGUGACAGUGAAAGUAGGGUUUACCGGUGCUCUGCCGGCUUUCACCAGGGCUCCACCUGGGCAUUAUCUGCAACAACCGGGGCUCUGCCGGGGCUUCACCGGGAUGAACUGUUGCUAGUCUGGGGUUGACCAGGACUCUGCCAAAAUGUUGACCGGCUUCAACCGAGGUGGCACCAGGAAAAAGUGUGACGGCAUUAAAAAUAAAUUAUGAAUCAUCCCGUUUUUUUCCGGUUGACCGGCGUGAGCAAACGGGGAUGGAAGCCGGGGCUCUACUGGCAAUAGUGAGACUUGGGCAUAACUUAAGUAUGAAAUGUCACCAUUGCUAUUUGGUUUAUCUACACUUGAACUUAUGCCAAAAACAUAGUACUUUACGCUCAUACUGUUAUAAAAUGAAUGCCUCUUUAAAUAAUCAAAACUAGCUUUCAGAGAUAUUACAUCCACAUUAUAUUAUGUUAUAUAUAUAUAUCAAUGAUCAAUUGUAUUGACGUUUUUGUAUCAAUUUAUAACAAUA